UGCUGGCCAUCUCUCCAGGUCUGGAGCCAGAGAAGAUGAUCUGAAAUUGUAGCAGGAGAAAUUGAGUGUGGAAUCUAUAUGACCCUGGGAGGGAUGUUGGUUGGAAGAAUGACCAGCUGAUGGAGAUGCUGCUGUAAUUAUUGGUGGUAAUAAUGGGCAGCAGUGAGCCACCCGGUGUGACAGUGUAGGAGAAAACAGUCCAAACUCCUGCCAAACUCUCUCUACUGAUGGCAAAUCAGAGGAGACUCAAAUUGAACGACUCAAUCGCCGGAGCAGGAAGCUCAGAAAGGACAUUGCAGAACUUCAGCGGCUCAAGGCUCAGCAGGAGAAGAAACUGCAGGCUCUGCAGUUUCAGGUAGACCACGGGAACCACAGGCUGGAGGCUGGGCCGGAGAGCCAGCACCAAACCAGGGAACAGCUGGGUGCCCUCCCUCAGCAGUGGCUGGGCCAGCUGGAGCACAUGCCAGCAGAAGCGGCCAGAAUCCUUGACAUCUCCAGGGCAGUAACACAGCUCAGAAGCCUGGUCAUUGAUCUGGAAAGGACGGCCAAGGAAUUAGACACCAACACACUGAAGGUGCAUACCCUGAGGCCUUCCCCAAGGGCUGGGAUUCUCCCCGAUAGGAGGCAGCCCAUCUGCAUCACCCUUCUGGGAGGUGUAAGAGGGAGGGGCCUGUGUGAUAUGUGGUGACUUGUGGUAGAUGUGGCUUGUUCCAGGCUACAGAGUGCUGCUGCAGCAGAAUGGGCACAGAAGAGGGGUGUUGCUAUGUUCCCCCAGUUCUCAAGGUGGCACCCCAGAGUGGCCUCCAAGAGUGAAUUGGGAAAGGAAUUUGGAGGUGAUAGGAACCUGAGAACCAAUUAUGAUUCUCACUUUUUCUCUCUCCUAGAAUGCUGGUGACUUACUGAACAGGUACGAGCUGUCCCUUCUUCUUUCCCACAUGUGCAUAUAAACCCACACAACACAGACAUGCACAGAGGUCAAGGAGACCCACUGCUCCGUUAGCUUUUGUAUCUUGAUGCUACAUGGCCAAUGGAAGAGCCAAUGGAAUAUAUGAAUACAUAUUAAUCUAUGAAAGAUUUCUUUGUUUCUAGGAGUGCUCCACAGAAAUUAGAGGUUAUUUAUCCCCAGUUGGAGAAAGGAGUCAGUGAAUUGCUUCUUCAGCCCCCUCAGAAGCUCUGACCUGUUCAUCCCUGGGACACCUCACUUCAGGCUCACCUCAGCCUCCUCUCUCUCCUUCCUCCAACCUGUCCAGGCCCCCACUGGGUCUACCCAGUGCAUCUUCGGGCCUGCCAGCUCCUGAACAUGUCACCAUUUCUUCAUGUCCACAGUCAUCACCUGAUGCCUGACCCUCUGACUCUUGGACGAUAGCCAGCCUCCUUCCAGGACAGGCUCAUGCUUGGGGCUGCCACUGUGGAGGUCGGGGCCCAUGGUCUCCAGGAGCAUUUGUGAAAUCUCCAUUUUGCCUGUAAACUGAUGGUAGUGCCCAUCUCUCACAAUCUCAUUCAAAUAGGAUCCUCCAGGCCUCUGAAUGGCCCGAGCUCAUCAGCAGUGACACCACCUCACAUGUGGAGCCCAGCUGAGUUCCUGCAGUACUUGUUGUCUGUACCACUCACCUGGCACUUAUUUAUUAUUGUUGUGGAAGACAGACUCAAAGACAGCCUCCCUUCAUGAUCCUCACCUCUUGGAAUUCAUGCCCUUGUUUGGUCCCCUCCCCUUGAGUGUAAGUGGGAUCUGUGACUUGCUUCUAAUGAAUGGAAUAAGGCAAAGGUGAUAGGGUGUCACUCUGGCAACUGUGUUGCAUUGUAUAGAACUCCUCCUUGCUGGCCCACCCUUUUAGAGCCCCUCCUAGGAGCCAAGAGCAGCUUCCAGCCAACAACAAGCAGAGGCCCUCAGUCUUGUGGCUGCAAGAACCUGAAUUCUGCCAACAACCCGAGUGAGCUUGGAAGCAGAUUCUUCCCCAACUGAGCCGGAUAAGAACCUAGUCCAGCCAACACCUUGAUUAUAGUCUUGUGAGUACCUAAGCUGAGGACCCAGUGAAGCUGUGCCAAAAUUUCCCACCCACAGAAACAGUGUGACAAUAAAUGUGUGUGUGUUUUUUUGUUUUCUGUUUUCGUUUUUGAGAUGGAGUCUCACUCUGUUGCCCAGGCUGGAAUGCGGUGGUGUGAUGUCGGCUCACUGUAACCUCUGUCUCCUAGGUUCAAGCAAUUCUCCUGCCUCAGCCUCCCUAAUAGCUAGGGAUUAUAGGCGCCCGCCACCACACCCGGCUAAUUUUUUGUGUUUUUAGUAGAGACAGGGUUUAACCAUGUUGGCCAGGCUGGCCUUGAACUUCUGACCUCAGGUGAUCAGCCCACCUUGGCCUCCCAAAAUGCUGGGAUUACAGGUGUGAGCCACCGCGCCUGGCCAUGUGUUGUUAUAAGGCAGUAAAUUUGUGGUAAUUUUUGUGGAGUAAUGGAUAAUGAAUACAAUUGUAUAUUAGUCAUUUUUGUAUAAGCCUCACUUCUUUGGGUGAGCAGGGAUCAUAUUCUGUCUGUGUCCUCAUGUCUAGAACAGUGUCUGGCUCAUAGCUGGUGUCCAGUAAAAUUUUAAAUGUAUGUAUAAGUGAACUAAUAAGAAAGCAUAAGGAAGGGCUCUUCUCAAUCCUCUGAUUAAAAAGAGCCAUCAAUUACCUUAUAAUCAGUAUUUAUUGAGCCUUUGCCAAAGUAGUCAAUACCAUACUGAGAGGUAUAAGGAAUAAAACAUGGCCACAAUUAUAAAACAAGCCACGUGGUGGUGCAAAGAGUGAAAACUACAGGGUCAGACUUGAGUUUAGGUCUCGGUCCUGACACCUAAUGCCUCUGUAACCUUGGGCAAAUUACUUAGCCUCUCUGAACCUCUGUACUCCCCCCUCUAAAAUAAGGGUUAUGGUACCUGUGGCCUGGGAUUGUUGUCAAAAUUAAAUACAUGCUGAGUGUCUGCUAAAGUGUCUAAAACGUAAACAUUCAAAUAUGUUCAUUUUAUCUUUUUUUUUUUUUUGGUGUAUUCUGGCUUUAUUGUUAUUUUUUUUUAAUUAUACUUUAAGUUCUAGGGUACAUGUGCACAAUGUGCAGGUUUGUUACAUAUGUAUACAUGUGCCAUGUUGGUGUGCUGCACCCAUUAACUUGUCAUUUACAUUGGGUAUUUCUCCUAAUGCUAUCCCUCCCCCCUCCCCCCACCCCAAAACAGGCCCUGGUGUGUGAUGUUCCCCACCCUGUGUCCAAGUGAUCUCAUUGUUCAAUUCCCACCAAUGAGUGAGAACAUGCGGUGUUUGGUUUUCUGUCCUUGCGAUAGUUUGCUGAGAAUGAUGGUUUCCAGCUUCAACCAUGUCCCUAAAAAGGACAUGAACUCAUCCUUUUUCAUUUCAUCUUUUUUUAAAAAAACCACUUCCCCUUUUGAAAUGAAAUAUGGAAUGAUAAAAAAAUUUUAAAUAAAUUCCACUUCACCAUCCAGAAGUUUAUAAUUUAGCUGUGGAACUAUGACUAAACAGCUACAGAAUAAGAAGAGAGCGUGUAACUGCACUGAAUUAGGUAUCACAGAGGCUAAGUGCCCUGGGAAUUCAGAGGAAAGAAACAGCGAGCCUGGGAAAGUCAGGGUAGGUUUUGUGGGGGAGGUGGGGAUUGGACAAGUGGGAGAGGAAGGUGAGAACAUUCUAGGUCACAAUAACCACAUGAAUGAAAGCAUAGAGGUAGGAAAAAGCCACGGUACCUUUGUAGGAGUGUGAGGAAACCAACCUGGUUAGGCUGGAAUGUUCAGGAAUGGGGAAGACGAGAAGUCAACAGGCUAAAUGGAUGACACCAAGACAUAGUGAGGUUUCUGAGUCAGGAAUGAAGGGAGAAGUGGUGUUUAAUGAAAGCCAGUCUGGAUCGUUUGCACAAGAAGGACUGGGACAGAGAGUUGGGGGCUGGAAGGAGAGGGGAGGAGAAAGAGCCUAGUGCAGAUGUUCAGAAAAAAGGUAUAGUUAUUUGGCAAGAAGCUGCAGAUCUCAGAGAAACAUAAGAUCCCAAAUCUAAGAGCAAGACAUUAGCCAAGGAAAGAACACCCCUGAAAGUGACAGCUAGCAAUUUCUGCAUCCCAGAUGGAGUUAAUGUCACCAAGAGAACUUGUACUAGGAGUAGGAGGAGACUGACAGCCCCCAGGGUCUCUCCUCAGGAGAGAAUUCAGUUAUACUGAAGAUGCCUUCCAGGCCCCCCUUGGUCCCUUCUGACGUCACCACAGAUGAUCAGGCCAGGGGUGGGAGUCUGAACAGCAGAUAAUUGGCCAAACAAGUCUAUGAGGUCACCUGUCAAGGAAGACCUUAUCAAAGAGGGACAAUAGUAAUUAACUGAAACCAUCAGGUCCUCUCGGAGAUUCAGAAGGGAUCCAUGAUGAAUGUGUCAUUAGUUGGCAAGAAGAGCAGACACAGAGAGAAUCAGAGAUGCAUGUGCAGCCACGAUGUAUUGGAACAGGUGUCCAUGACCCAUGCUGCUGAGAGGCCGCAGGAAUAUCCAGUCUUCACGCUUCUUUGGACUUCGAGCCCACUUCUUACCGGUAGGUCCUGGGCAUACAACAUACCACUGCAUAAUGGUCAUGAGCACAGACUCGGGAGCCAAACCACAAGACUUCAAAUGCUGGCUCUGCGACUUACUAUCAGCUGAUUUGAGACCAGCUGCUCGGCCUCCACAUGUCUCAGUUCUCUUAUGUACAAGAUGGGCACCUACCUCCUGAGGUUGUUGUGAGGAUUAAAUGAGUUAAUAUAUACAAAUAUUUAUUAUGGUGUUUGGCCAAAAUAAGUUCUAUGUGUGUGAUUGUUAUCAGCAUUUUUGGAAUCUCUAGUUCUUCCUACAGGAACGAGUGGUGACCCCACCAACUCGCUCACGCCUGACAUAGCUUCUCACGGGGCCUGGCUCAUGGUGGAAAAUCGCAUUUUCCUUAUUUCUGCUUUUAUAAUAAACUUACCUAUCAUUU
rnacentral:lncRNA from 10 species